rnacentral:lncRNA from 1 species
UCCAAGCCCCUUACAGGCUCCCUGCUGAGCCCUGUAAACAGUUGCGACUCGGCAGGGAGCCUGUAAGCACCUGGGACCCUCAGAAUAUCUGUGUGUCAGCGUACUUUAUUCACCGGUCAUUGGGUCAGGGGUCUGCAAGGGACAGACUCCCCACAGCUGGUGACCCCUCGAGAGGAGCCCUGCCCCCAGCUGGUGCCCCAUGUGAGGCGCUGUGUGAGGAACUGUGUGAGGAAUGCUGUGAAGGAAACGCGACGAACCGCCCGAAAACGAAGACAGAACAGCAUGUGGAGACUCACACAGUGAAAUUUUCCUCCAAGAAGUACUGCAUGAACAUACCAGGAAAACCAAAAGAAUUCACAGGACCUUUGAAAGAAGUGGCUUGCCGCUGCAAACUCCAUGAGACAGCUGAAAAACUGGCAAAGCGGCUGAGAUCUUUGAACUCCCUUUGAACUUUGAGAAUGGUGACUGGAAGAUGACAAUUCAUGUUGUUUUCAGGAAAG